rnacentral:rRNA from 1 species
AUUGAACGCUGGCGGCAUGCCUUACACAUGCGAGUCGAACGGCAGCAUGAUCUAGCUUGCUAGAUUGAUGGCGAGUGGCGAACGGGUGAGUAAUACAUCGGAACGUGCCCUGUAGUGGGGGAUAACUAGUCGAAAGAUUAGCUAAUACCGCAUACGGCCUGAGGGUGAAAGUGGGGGACCGCAAGGCCUCAUGCUAUAGGAGCGGCCGAUGUCUGAUUAGCUAGUUGGUGAGGUAAAGGCUCACCAAGGCGACGAUCAGUAGCUGGUCUGAGAGGACGAUCAGCCACACUGGGACUGAGACACGGCCCAGACUCCUACGGGAGGCAGCAGUGGGGAAUUUUGGACAAUGGGGGCAACCCUGAUCCAGCAAUGCCGCGUGUGUGAAGAAGGCCUUCGGGUUGUAAAGCACUUUUGUCCGGAAAGAAAUCGCACUUACUAAUAUUGGGUGUGGAUGACGGUACCGGAAGAAUAAGGACCGGCUAACUACGUGCCAGCCGCCGCCGUAACAC